rnacentral:rRNA from 1 species
CCUACGGGUGGCAGCAGUGGGGAAUAUUGGACAAUGGGCGAAAGCCUGAUCCAGCCAUGCCGCGUGUGUGAAGAAGGCCUUCGGGUUGUAAAGCACUUUCAGUGGGGAAGAAAGCCUUGGGGCUAAUACCCUCGAGGAAGGACAUCACCCACAGAAGAAGCACCGGCUAACUCCGUGCCAGCAGCCGCGGUAAUACGGAGGGUGCGAGCGUUAAUCGGAAUUACUGGGCGUAAAGCGCGCGUAGGCGGUCUGAUAAGCAGGUUGUGAAAGCCCCGGGCUCAACCUGGGAACGGCAUCCGGAACUGUCAGGCUAGAGUGCAGUAGAGGAAGGUAGAAUUCCCGGUGUAGCGGUGAAAUGCGUAGAGAUCGGGAGGAAUACCAGUGGCGAAGGCGGCCUUCUGGACUGACACUGACGCUGAGGUGCGAAAGCGUGGGUAGCAAACAGGAUUAGAUACCCCAGUAGUC